rnacentral:rRNA from 1 species
GACGAACGCUGGCGGCGUGCCUAAUACAUGCAAGUCGAGCGCUGAAGGUUGGUUCUUGUCCCAAUUGGAUGAGCAGCGAACGGGUGAGUAACGCGUGGGGACUCGGCCUUUGAGCGGGGGACAACAUUUGGAAACGAAUGCUAAUACCGCAUAAAAACUUUAAACACAAGGUUUAAGUUUGAAAGAUGCAAUUGCAUCACUCAAAGAUGAUCCCGGGUUGUAUUAGCUAGUUGGGGGGGUAAAGGCUCACCAAGGAGAGGAUCCAUAGCCGAUCUGAAAGGAUGACGGCCCACAUGGGAACGGGACACGGGCCAAGACCCCACGGGGGGGCGCAAGAGGGGAUCUUCGGCCAUGGGCGGAAGUCUGGCCGAGGAACGCCGCGUGGGUGAAGGAGGUUUUCGGGUCGGAAAACUCUGUUGGUAGGGAAGAACGUUGGUUAGAGUGGAAAGCUCAUCAAGUGACGGUAACUACCCAGAAAGCGACGGCUAACUACGUG